GGGGGAUAUUGCACAAUGGAGGAAACUCUGAUGCAGCAACGCCGCGUGAAGGAUGAAGGUUUUCGGAUUGUAAACUUCUUUAGUCAGGGACGAAAAAAUGACGGUACCUGAAGAAUAAGCCACGGCUAACUACGUGCCAGCAGCCGCGGCAAUACGUAGGUGGCAAGCGUUGUCCGGAAUUACUGGGUGUAAAGGGCGUGUAGGCGGGAAUGUAAGUCAGAUGUGAAAUCCCAGGGCUUAACCCGGGAGCUGCAUCUGAAACUAUGUUUCUUGAGUGCCGGAGAGGAAAGCGGAAUUCCUAGUGUAGCGGUGAAAUGCGUAGAUAUUAGGAGGAACACCAGUGGCGAAGGCGGCUUUCUGGACGGUAACUGACGCUGAGGCGCGAAAGCGUGGGGAGCAAAC
rnacentral:rRNA from 1 species